rnacentral:rRNA from 1 species
UACGGAGGGGGCAAGCGUUACUCGGAAUUAUUGGGCGUAAAGCGCGCGUAGGCGGCUUGGCAAGUCAAAGGUGAAAUCCCUCGGCUCAACCGAGGAACUGCCUUUGAAACUGCCUGGCUUGAGGCCGGGAGGGGGUAGCGGAAUUCCCAGUGUAGCGGUGAAAUGCGUAGAUAUUGGGAGGAACACCGGUGGCGAAGGCGGCUACCUGGACCGGUUCUGACGCUGAGGCGCGAAAGCGUGGGGAGCAAACAGG